GACGAACGCUGGCGGCGUGCCUAACACAUGCAAGUCGAGCGGAGAUGAUCUGAAGUUUACUUUGGGUUGUCUUAGCGGCGGACGGGUGAGUAACGCGUGGGCAACCUGCCUUUCACAGGGGGAUAACACAGGGAAACUUGUGCUAAUACCGCAUAACACAGUGAGGAAGCAUUUUCUUAUUGUCAAAGGAGCAAUCCGGUGAAAGAUGGGCCCGCGUCCAAUUAGCUAGUUGGUGAUGUAACGGACCACCAAGGCGACGAUUGGUAGCCGAACUGAGAGGUGGAUCGGCCACAUUGGGACUUAGACACGGCCCAGACUCCUACGGGAGGCAGCAGUGGGGAAUAUUGCACAAUGGGGGAAACCCUGAUGCAGCAACGCCGCGUGAAGGAUGAAGGUUUUCGGAUUGUAAACUUCUUUAGUCAGGGACGAAUAAAUGACGGUACCUGAAAAAUAAGCCACGGCUAACUACGUGCCAGCCGCCGCGGUAAUAC
rnacentral:rRNA from 1 species